rnacentral:rRNA from 1 species
CCAAUAGCGUAUAUUAAAGUUGUUGCAGUUAAAAAGCUCGUAGUUGAAUUUCGGGGUCAGCAGGUUGGUCGUGCCAAUGGUAUGCACUGGCCUUGCUGAUUCCUCCCUCUUGAUGAGCCGUAAUGUCAUUAAUUUGGUGUUGCGGGGAAUCAGGACUGUUACUUUGAAAAAAUUAGAGUGUUUAAAGCAGGCAAGCGCUUGAAUACAUUAGCAUGGAAUAAUGAAAUAGGACGUUCGAUCCUAUUUUGUUGGUUUCUAGGAUUGACGUAAUGAUUAAUAGGGAUAGUUGGGGGCAUUAGUAUUCAAUUGUCAGAGGUGAAAUUCUUGGAUUUAUUGAAGACUAACUACUGCGAAAGCAUUUGCCAAGGAUGUUUUCAUUAAUCAAGAACGAAAGUUAGGGGAUCGAAGACGAUCAGAUACCGUCGUAGUCUUAACCAUAAACUAUGCCGACUAGGGAUCGGAUGAUGUUAAUUUUUUAAUGACUCAUUCGGCGCCUUACG